AAUGAACGUUGGCGGCGUGGAUUAGGCAUGCAAGUCGAGCGGGUGUAGCAAUACACCAGCGGCGAAAGGGAGAGUAAUACGUGGAUACCUACCCUCGGAUUUGGGAUAGCCUCGGGAAGCUGAGGGUAAUACCAGAUAACGUCUCCGGACCAAGGGUGUGAUUCCGUCCGGGGAGGGGUCCGCGUCCUAUUAGCUAGUUGGUGAGGUAACGGCUCACCAAGGCGAAGAUGGGUACGAGGGGUGAGAGCGUGUCCUCGCUCACUGGGACUGAGACACUGACCAGACACCUACGGGUGGCUGCAGUCGAGAAUCUUCGGCAAUGGGCGCAAGCCUGACCGAGCGACGCCGCGUGCGGGAUGAAGGCCUUCGGGUUGUAAACCGCUGUCAGUAGGGAGGAAAGGUUAGGGGUUCUCCCCUAGAUUUGACCUAUCUGCAGAGGAAGGACGGGCUAAGUUCGUGCCAGCAGCCGCCGCCGUAA
rnacentral:rRNA from 1 species